rnacentral:rRNA from 1 species
GAUGAACGCUGGCGGCGUGCCUAAUACAUGCAAGUCGAGCGAACGGACGAGAAGCUUGCUGCUCUGAUGUUAGCGGCGGACGGGUGAGUAACACGUGGAUAACCUACCUAUAAGUCUGGGAUAACUUCGGGAAACCGGAGCUAAUACCGGAGAAUAUUUUGAACCGCAUGGUUCAAAAGUGAAAGACGGUCUUGCUGUCACUUAUAGAUGGAUCCGCGCUGCAUUAGCUAGUUGGUAAGGUAACGGCUUACCAAGGCAACGAUGCAUAGCCGACCUGAGAGGGUGAUCGGCCGCACUGGAGGUGAGACACGGUCCAGACUCCUACGGGAGGCAGCAGUAGGGAAUCGGCGGCAAUGGGCGAGAGCCUGACGGAGCAACGCCGAGUGAGUGAUGAAGGUCUUCGGAGCGUAAUACUCUGUUAUUAGGGAAGAACAUAUUUGUACGGAACUGAGCACAUCGUGACGGUAACGGGUCAGAAAGCACCGGCUAACUACGUG